GCUCCAAUAUGGCGGCGACGUUGACGUGCGGUCGAGUGGCCAAUGAGCAUAUGUCUAUGGUUUUAACUGUAAUGCAAAUCUAACUUUGUCGAAUGUUAUUUUAUGAAAAGAAGGAUUGCGUUUAAUCAAAACAUGACGAAAAUGCCGCUUUCAAACUGAAAGGCAACAAAACAUGUCAAUAUGGCUGCUUGCGUGAGUGAAAACGAUUCAGAUAAAAAACUGGAAUUCUUUUUAAAUGUACCCUUCCCAUGUGAGAGAGAGGCAGCUAUCGCCCUGCAGUCUUUAUCUCCUGAUCCUGAGCCCAGGAAAGGAGGAAUCACUAAAAACUUGGAUGUUACAGGACACACACUGUCUGUGAGAUGGACUGCGGAUGAAGCUCGGAUUCUUCGGGUUUCUGUAAGUUCAUUCUUGGACCAUUUGUGUCUAGUGAUGGAAACUAUGGAUGCAUUCGGACCACCUGUUUCAUAAUGACAAUUUGAGAGACAAAUUCAAGCAUAAGAGGAGAAAUGUGGACGCAGAUGCUGUUUGCACUAUGUUAGAAGGACGUCCAAGAGAAACAUCUGCUGCCGUGUCUUUAUCUUGGACUGCGAAGGCUUAAAAAGCAUAAAAUAAUGUGCUUUUGCUCAUGUCUGAAGACAAUUGCUUUGAGUUGUUAAAUGAAAUAUUUCACCAAAAAGUAAAAAUGUACUUAAUAACUCGUCCUCAGACCAUACAAGAUGCAGAGUUUUUACAUCAGAAAAUAUUUGAACUGACCAAUGGAUCCUCUGCAGUGAAUGGGUGCCGUCAGAAUAUUUUCCAUAUUAUGGCCAUAAAUGAAGGUUUAAAGUUUGAAACACCUUAAUGAUCAAUUUGUUUCUUACAAACAUGGAGCUUUUCACAUUACAAAUAGUUAAUUGUUGGACUGGAAUCAUGUGGAUUUUUGUAAUGUUUUCAUCAGCUGUUUGGACUCACAUUCUGACGGCACCCAUUCACUGCUGAGGACCCACUGGUAAGCAAGUGAUGGAAUGCUAAACUUCUCCAAAUCUGUUCUGAUGAAAAAACAAAUUCAUAUGGCCUAGGGGCGAGUAAAGUUUCAGCAAAUUUUAUCUUAUUUGUGAACUAUUCCUUUAAAGUUUAUCAGUGUAAAAGAAACCAAAACAAACCAGUUUUGUCAUUUGAAUAAAGAUUUAUUAAUGAAGCAUUGUUGAUGAAACAAUACAGAGAAAUGAUUUGACCAUGUUCAAGGAAAGGUACUUGUUUUAUAAAAGAGGGACAGAUGUGUGUUUAUUAGUUUCUAUUGGCAGACAUCGCUAAGGGUUUUCGAUCAAUAUAAUCUCCAACACUGGUUGAUAGAAAUAAAGACGUAAAAAAAAAAUGUCGCACAGAUUCAAGGGUUGUCAGGCCUCACUCUCUGAUUUCAGCUUUCCUUUAUUUAACCUACAUAAUACCCAUAAUUCGAUCAAUGAGAUGAGCCUGUUAGAAAUGUCUACUAUAUGAACAUAGAAACAUCAAAAUAAACUGUAAACCUAGUAAUUAAACAGCAUGAGGUCAAGACAAGAAUUAAUCAUGACUGUUACAUUCAUACAUUAAAACUGGGGAAACACUUUCGUUCGAAGUGAACGAAACUGUUGCAUGGUUAAAAUGAUUGCACUUAAGACUUCGUGAGCUACCAGAUCCCCAAAAUGUUCACCAGCCUAACAAGUCAUGUAAGGUUGCCUCCUUAGGCACAAACUUGAAAUAAUUCUUUCUGGCCUUGGCAGCUCUUAAAUUAUGCUGAGGAUUUUGAUAUUGUGACAUGCUUGGCUGUGUAUUCUGAGUGUACGUAUAUUUGUUUAGUUUACCAUAUUAAAGGAUUUGGCAAAAUAAAGGAAUUUCAAGGAAGACUUCUUCAUCCUAAAACAAAGUAAAAGGCACAGACAGACAAACAAGCAGGAGACGAGUCUGAAAGACUAUAAUCUGCAUGGAUGAAGGAAUAAACAAUACAAAAAGCCAAAAAAAAAAAAAAA